rnacentral:rRNA from 1 species
CCUGGUUCGAGCCGCCCGUACCCCAAACCGACUCAGGUGGUUAGGUAGAGAAUACCAAGGCGAUCGAGUGAAUCGUGGUUAAGGAAUUCGGCAAAAUGCCCCCGUAACUUCAGGAGAAGGGGGGCCCGGAACCUGAAGUGACGAGCUCACUAGGGUGAAGGGCCGCAGAGACCAGGGAGAAGCGACUGUUUACUAAGAACACAGGUCCGUGCGAAGUCGCAAGACGAUGUAUACGGACUGACGCCUGCCCGGUGCUGGAAGGUUAAGAGGACCGGUUAGACCGCAAGGUCGAAGCUGAGAAUUUAAGCCCCAGUAAACGGCGGUGGUAACUAUAACCAUCCUAAGGUAGCGAAAUUCCUUGUCGGGUAAGUUCCGACCUGCACGAAUGGCGUAACGAUUUCUCCACUGUCUCAACCGCGAACUCGGCGAAAUUGCACUACGAGUAAAGAUGCUCGUUACGCGCAGCAGGACGGAAAGACCCCGGGACCUUUACUAUAGCUUGGUAUUGGUGUUCGGUACGGCUUGUGUAGGAUAGGUGGGAGACUGUGAAGCAUGCACGCCAGUGUGUGUGGAGUCAACGUUGAAAUACCACUCUGGUCGUUCUGGAUAUCUAACCUCGGUCCGUGAUCCGGAUCAGGGACAGUGCCUGGUGGGUAGUUUAACUGGGGCGGUUGCCUCCUAAAAGGUAACGGAGGCGCUCAAAGGUUCCCUCAGCCUGGUUGGCAAUCAGGUUUCUAGUGUAAGUGCACAAGGGAGCUUGACUGCGAGAGAGACAUCUCGAGCAGGGACGAAAGUCGGAACUAGUGACCCGGCGGUGGCUUGUGGAAGCGCCGUCGCUCAACGGAUAAAAGGUACCCCGGGGAUAACAGGCUGAUCUUGCCCAAGAGUCCAUAUCGACGGCAUGGUUUGGCACCUCGAUGUCGGCUCGUCGCAUCCUGGGGGUGGAGUUGCUCCCAAGGGUUGGGCUGUUCGCCCAUUAAAGCGGUACGCGAGCUGGGUUUAGAACGUCGUGAGACAGUUCGGUCCCUAUCCGCUGUGCGCGUAGGAAACUUGAGAAGGGCUGACCCUAGUACGAGAGGACCGGGUUGGACGAACCUCUGGUGUGUCAGUUGUCCUGCCAAGGGCACCGCUGAUUAGCUACGUUCGGAAGUGAUAACCGCUGAAAGCAUCUAAGCGGGAAGCACGCUUCAAGAUGAGGUUUCCAUGCACCAUCAGGUGUGAGAGGCUCCCGGCUAGACUACCGGGUUGAUAGGCCAGACGUGGAAGUGCAGCAAUGCAUGUAGCUGACUGGUACUAAUAAGCCGACAACUUG